rnacentral:lncRNA from 1 species
CAAUGGUUAGAAAGCGUAUGAUACAAGCAAUUACAAUGCUAAUGAUUGGAAUAAUUAUUUGUUCUGCAAAUGCUGAAUUUCAGUACACUGCUGUUGAAAGUCCUUGGACUAAAAUGUCUUAUCAUAUUACAUCAUCUGAGCUCCGAGAGUGCAUUCAAAAAUGCGAGAAAAUGUAUGCAAAUGAUACAAUAAAGAUGAAAUCUUGCAAAAAGCAAUGUCGCCUUAAUCAUUGUCUUGCCAAAUGCCGAAGUCGCUAUGCAAAUAACGAGCCAGAAAAAAAGGAAUGCAUUAAACAUUGCUAUGCUGUUUAUGGUUAGUGUUUUAUAUUUGAGAUCAACAACUAAAAUUAUUAAAACAUCAAUAUUCUAGA